rnacentral:lncRNA from 1 species
GUUUAUCCCAGGCUACAGCGAAUGCAUUAGCUCAAGCGCAAAGCUUUAGCAUUAGGAGUGGUGAAGAGGAGUCGAGGAAGAAACGCAACGCCGAUGAUCAACAGGCUCCUUUACCAACCAUCGUCCACUACACUCCAAGAGCGGGAAUUGAUCAUGAAGAUUAAUUUCAUAAUGACAUAACAAUGAUCUCCACAACGACAUGGCAGAAAUAAUGGACUAAAUAGAUUUUAUGAUAGUUUGAGCAUUCAAAAAUAACAAAGCGCACUUCAUACUAAUACUAUUAUUAAUAAUUAAAUAAACAUUUAGUGGGAGA